rnacentral:rRNA from 1 species
UACGUAGGCAGCAAGCGUUGUUCGGAAUUACUGGGCGUAAAGAGUGUGUAGGCGGUGCUCUAAGUUCGGUGUGAAAUCUCCUGGCUCAACUGGGAGGGUGCGCCGGAAACUGGGGUGCUGGAGCGCGGGAGAGGAAGGCGGAAUUCCUGGUGUAGCGGUGAAAUGCGUAGAUAUCAGGAGGAACACCAAUUGCGAAGGCAGCUCGCUGGAACGUUACUGACGCUGAGACGCGAAAGCGUGGGGAGCAAACAGG